GAGGGUGGGGUGGGAAGCAGUCUCGGUGGGCGAUUGGCGGAGGGUGAGAGCCAGACGCCCAAACACAGAUGGGACGUAUGGAGAAGACCUUGCGCGAGAGCUGCUGCAGUGACAAUGCCAGAUCCUUAACCUGCUGCACCGCAAGGGAACUCCUGUCUGUGCCUUUCUAAACUCAUCUGUGAAGGGGGUGCAGAGGCUCAGCUCGCAUACCACCUCCUCCAGGAAGCCUCCCGGGACUUGGAUCCUCCUGCAGGAAGUGAUGGCCUGCUCCCUGCUCGCCCCCACCCAGGCCUUUCCUCUGGGCCUCUCUGACACCCUGGGCGGUUCUGCCUUGAAGAUGUGUGUACAUGUCCUCAUGUUCCCAGCAGGCUGCGGGGGCCGGCCCAGUUCUGAUUCAGCUUUCCUUUCCCAUGGUGCUUUUUUCCAAGUAAACACAGGCUCU